rnacentral:rRNA from 1 species
GAUGAACGCUGGCGGCGUGCCUAAUACAUGCAAGUCGAGCGAACAGACGAGGAGCUUGCUCCUCUGACGUUAGCGGCGGACGGGUGAGUAACACGUGGAUAACCUACCUAUAAGACUGGGAUAACUUCGGGAAACCGGAGCUAAUACCGGAUAAUAUAUUGAACCGCAUGGUUCAAUAGUGAAAGACGGUUUUGCUGUCACUUAUAGAUUGAUCCGCGCCGCAUUAGCUAGUUGGUAAGGUAACGGCUUACCAAGGCGACGAUGCGUAGCCGACCUGUGAGGGUGAUCGGCCACACUGGAACUGAGACACGGUCCAGACUCCUACGGGAGGCAGCAGUAGGGAAUCUUCCGCAAUGGGCGAAAGCCUGACGGAGCAACGCCGAGUGAGUGAUGAAGGUCUUCGGAUCGGAGAACUGUGUUAUUCGGGAAGAACAAAUGUGUAAGUAACUAUGCACGUCUUGACGGUACCUAAUCAGAAAGCCACGGCUAACUACGUG